rnacentral:rRNA from 1 species
CACGUAUUUAGCCGUCGCUUCUUCUGCAGGUACCGUCACUUCCUUCUUCCCUGCUGAAAGCACUUUACAAUCCGAAAACCUUCCUCGUGCACACAGAAUUGCUGGAUCAGGGUUGCCCCCAUUGUCCAAUAUUCCCCACUGCUGCCUCCCGUAGGAGUAAGGGUCGUAUCUCAGUCCCCUUGUGGCCGUUUCACCCUCUCAGGCCGGCUACCUAUCAUCGCCUUGGUGGGCCGUUACCCCGCCAACAAGCUAAUAGGACGCAAAGCUCUCCCGCAGCAUCUCUUUUCAUUGCCAGGCACAUGCGUGCCGGCAACUGUAUCAGGUGUUGUCAGUCGUUUCCGUCUGUUAUCCCUGUCUGCAGGGCAAGUUCUUUACGCGUUACUCACCCGUCCGCCUUGGCUAGCCUGUGCAAGCACAGAUUCGCCAAAGACUUGCAUGUGUUAAGCAUUCUGUCAGCGUUCAUCCUGAGCCAGGAUACAAACUCU